rnacentral:rRNA from 1 species
CGGCCGGAUAAGUCUCUUGGGAAAUCUGGCAGCUUAACUGUCAGGCUUUCAGGAGAUACUGUCUGGCUCGAGGCCGGGAGAGGUGAGAGGUACUUCAGGGGUAGGGGUGAAAUCUUGUAAUCCUUGAAGGACCACCAGUGGCGAAGGCGUCUCACCAGAACGGACCUGACGGCAAGGGACGAAAGCUAGGGGCACGAACCGGAUUAGAUACCCGGGUAGUCCUAGCCGUAAACGAUACUCGCUAGGUGUCGGCCACGGUGCGACCGUUGUCGGUGCCGUAGGGAAGCCGUGAAGCGAGCCACCUGGGAAGUACGGCCGCAAGGCUGAAACUUAAAGGAAUUGGCGGGGGAGCACCACAACGGGUGGAGCUUGCGGUUUAAUUGGAUUCAACGCCGGAAAUCUUACCGGGACCGACAGCAAUAUGAAGGCCAGGCUGAAGACUUUGCCGGAUUAGCUGAGAGGUGGUGCAUGGCCGUCGUCAGUUCGUACUG